AUUGAACGCUGGCGGCAUGCCUUACACAUGCAAGUCGAACGGUAACAGGUUAAGCUGACGAGUGGCGAACGGGUGAGUAAUAUAUCGGAACGUGCCCAGUCGUGGGGGAUAACUGCUCGAAAGAGCAGCUAAUACCGCAUACGACCUGAGGGUGAAAGCGGGGGAUCGCAAGACCUCGCGCGAUUGGAGCGGCCGAUAUCGGAUUAGGUAGUUGGUGGGGUAAAGGCCCACCAAGCCAACGAUCUGUAGCUGGUCUGAGAGGACGACCAGCCACACUGGGACUGAGACACGGCCCAGACUCCUACGGGAGGCAGCAGUGGGGAAUUUUGGACAAUGGGCGCAAGCCUGAUCCAGCCAUGCCGCGUGCGGGAAGAAGGCCUUCGGGUUGUAAACCGCUUUUGUCAGGGAAGAAAAGGGUGUUUCUAAUACAGACGCCUCAUGACGGUACCUGAAGAAUAAGCACCGGCUAACUACGUGCCAGCCGCCGCGGUAACAC
rnacentral:rRNA from 1 species